rfam:Corchorus olitorius cultivar O-4 contig02219, whole genome shotgun sequence.
ACAAUGGAGAGUUUGAUCCUGGCUCAGGAUGAACGCUAGCGGCAGGCCUAAUACAUGCAAGUCAAACGGGUAGCAAUACCAGUGGCGUACGGGUGCGUAACGCGUAUGCAACCUACCUUUAACUGGGGGACAACAGCGGGAAACUGCUGCUAAUACCCCGUAACGCAGGGGCACGGCAUCGUGAUACUGCUAAAGAAGCGAUUCGGUUAGAGAUGGGCAUGCGUUCGAUUAGCUAGUUGGUGCAGGUAACGGCUCACCAAGGCGACGAUCGAUAGGGGCUCUGAGAGGAGAAUCCCCCACACUGGCACUGAGAUACGGGCCAGACUCCUACGGGAGGCAGCAGUAGGGAAUAUUGGGCAAUGGAGGAAACUCUGACCCAG